GACCUCGAAUCAGGUAGGAAUACCCGCUGAACUUAAGCAUAUCAAUAAGCGGAGGAAAAGAAACCAACAGGGAUUGCCCCAGUAACGGCGAGUGAAGCGGCAACAGCUCAAAUUUGAAAUCUGGCUCUCGGGCCCGAGUUGUAAUUUGUAGAGGAUGCUUUUGGUGAGGUGCCUUCCGAGUUCCCUGGAACGGGACGCCAUAGAGGGUGAGAGCCCCGUCUGGUUGGACACCGAUCCUCUGUAAAGCUCCUUCGACGAGUCGAGUAGUUUGGGAAUGCUGCUCUAAAUGGGAGGUAUAUGUCUUCUAAAGCUAAAUACCGGCCAGAGACCGAUAGCGCACAAGUAGAGUGAUCGAAAGAUGAAAAGAACUUUGAAAAGAGAGUUAAACAGUACGUGAAAUUGUUGAAAGGGAAGCGCUUGUGACCAGACUUGGGCUUGGUUGAUCAUCCGGGGUUCUCCCCGGUGCACUCUUCCGGCUCAG
rnacentral:rRNA from 1 species